rnacentral:lncRNA from 1 species
UCGCCAUGCUCAUCGAGCUUGUGGUAUGCACUCCCGAAAAUCAACUCUCUAUUACAUUUGCUUCAACUCUCAGUUCCUGGAACCAACAAUGCUGCGGUGCAGAAAUCCCUCUUGUUGACAGGACCUGCGUGCGUGCAUGCACACGCCAUUUCAAUUACUAUGUGCAGGGAGUUGCAUUGUUAAUCAUAUCAUCUGCAAUCGCACCGCUCAUGCCCGAAUGCGUCAAGAACAAGCUCAGUCGGGGACCAUGCUUGCCCGCAAAUGCAACCCAGUAUGGAGUGUGUAUGUUCUCUGUGUACCUGAUUGCAGUGGGUGCGGGCUGCAUCCGGCCAUGUCUGUCAGCCUUCGGAGGAGAUCAAUUCGACCAGGAAGAUGCGGCGGAGAGAG